GUGGGGAAUAUUGGACAAUGGGCGAAAGCCUGAUCCAGCCAUGCCGCGUGAGUGACGAAGGUCUUCGGAUUGUAAAGCUCUUUUGGCGGGGACGAUAAUGACGGUACCCGCAGAAUAAGCCCCGGCUAACUUCGUGCCAGCAGCCGCGGUAAUACGAAGGGGGCUAGCGUUGUUCGGAAUUACUGGGCGUAAAGCGCACGUAGGCGGACUUAUAAGUCAGGGGUGAAAUCCCGGGGCUCAACCUCGGAACUGCCUUUGAUACUGUAAGUCUCGAGAACGGAAGAGGUGAGUGGAAUUCCUAGUGUAGAGGUGAAAUUCGUAGAUAUUAGGAAGAACACCAGUGGCGAAGGCGGCUCACUGGUCCGGUUCUGACGCUGAGGUGCGAAAGCGUGGGGAGCAAACAGGAUUAGAUACCCGAGUAGUCC
rnacentral:rRNA from 1 species